rnacentral:rRNA from 1 species
UACGGAGGGAGCUAGCGUUGUUCGGAAUUACUGGGCGUAAAGCGCACGUAGGCGGCGAUUCAAGUCAGAGGUGAAAGCCCGGGGCUCAACCCCGGAACUGCCUUUGAAACUAGAUUGCUUGAAUCCUGGAGAGGUGAGUGGAAUUCCGAGUGUAGAGGUGAAAUUCGUAGAUAUUCGGAAGAACACCAGUGGCGAAGGCGACUCACUGGACAGGUAUUGACGCUGAGGUGCGAAAGCGUGGGGAGCAAACAGG